UACGAACCGUCCAAACGUUACUCGGAAUCACUGGGCUUAAAGGGUGCGUAGGCUGCGCGGAGGGUGGGAUGUGAAAUCCCCCGGCUCAACCGGGGAAUAGCGUCCCAAACCGCCGUGCUCGAGGGAGACAGAGGUGAGCGGAACUGAUGGUGGAGCGGUGAAAUGCGUUGAUAUCAUCAGGAACACCAGUGGCGAAGGCGGCUCACUGGGUCUUUCCUAACGCUGAGGCACGAAAGCUAGGGGAGCGAACAGG
rnacentral:rRNA from 1 species